rnacentral:rRNA from 1 species
UACGUAGGGGGGCAAGCGUUGUCCGGAUUUAUUGGGCGUAAAGAGCGUGUAGGCGGUUUGGUAGGUCCGCUGUGAAAACUCGAGCUCAACCUCGAGACGCCGGUGGAAACCAUCAGACUAGAGUCCGGAAGAGGAGAGUGGAAUUCCUGGUGUAGCGGUGAAAUGCGCAGAUAUCAGGAAGAACACCUAUGGCGAAGGCAGCUCUCUGGGCCGUAACUGACGCUGAGGAGCGAAAGCAUGGGGAGCGAACAGG